rnacentral:lncRNA from 1 species
UAAAUUUUAUUCCAGUCAAAAUUUUAAUUUUGAAAUUAACAGUUUAUAUAGUUAGAAUAUAAUUUUUGUUUUCAAAAGAUUUCUCAUCCUUAUGGACUACUGUUAAAAAUGCACAGUAUUUUUUGAAAGGCCCACAGCAGUGUCAGAAUUAUAAUCAGACUAUAAUUAUACAUGUAGAUAGUGGUCCAUUUUCCUCAGAGUUUUGUAUUUUUAAGGAAAAACAAAAAAUUAAUAAAGUCAGUAGUGUUCACAUAAUAUUCUGAUUUUGCUUGGCAGGUUGGUUCACUUGAAUAUAAUCUCACAACUGAUCUUCUAAACCACUUGGUAUUUGUACAGAAAGUGUUCAUGAAAGCACUUAAUGAAGUAAUACAAAAAGUCUCUGGUGGGGAGCAGCCUAUUCCUCUCUGGAAUGAACAUGAUGGAACAGCAGAUGGGGAUAAACCUAAAAUUCUCCUCUAUUCCUUGAACUUGCAGUUUAAGGGUAUUCAAGUAACAGCCACAACUCCAUCCAUGAGAGCUGUGAGAUUUGAAACUGGGUUGAUUGAACUGGAACUUUCUAAUCUACUUCAGACCAAAGCAUCACCAGGAAGUAGCAGCUAUCUGAAAUUAUUUGGCAAAUGCCAAGUGGAUUUAAAUUUGGCAUUAGGACAAAUUGUCAAACAUCAGGUGUGUACAAAAUAUAUUGAUAUUAGAAUUGUUGUUUUUGAAUUUUCAUAUUAAUUUGAGCUAUUUUAACUUACAUAUUACUAGAUUUACAAAAGUAUUUGUAUCUAAAAUUUCUG